rnacentral:rRNA from 1 species
GAUGAACGCUGGCGGCGUGCCUAAUACAUGCAAGUCGAGCGAAUGGAUUAAGAGCUUGCUCUUAUGAAGUUAGCGGCGGACGGGUGAGUAACACGUGGGUAACCUGCCCAUAAGACUGGGAUAACUCCGGGAAACCGGGGCUAAUACCGGAUAAUAUUUUGAACUGCAUGGUUCAAAAUUGAAAGGCGGCUUCGGCUGUCACUUAUGGAUGGACCCACGUCGCAUUAGCUAGUUGGCGAGGUAACGGCUCACCAAGGCAACGAUGCGUAGCCGACCUGAGAGGGUGAUCGGCCACACUGGGACUGAGACACGGCCCAGACUCCUACGGGAGGCAGCAGUAGGGAAUCUUCCGCAAUGGACGAAAGUCUGACGGAGCAACGCCGCGUGAGUGAUGAAGGCUUUCGGGUCGUAAAACUCUGUUGUUAGGGAAGAACAAGUGCUAGUUGAAUAAGCUGGCACCUUGACGGUACCUAACCAGAAAGCCACGGCUAACUACGUGCCAGCCGCCGCCGUAA